rnacentral:rRNA from 1 species
GACGAACGCUGGCGGCGUGCUUAACACAUGCAAGUCGAACGGAAAGGCCCUGCUUGCUGGGUAUACGAGUGGCGAAGGGGUGAGGAACACGUGGGCGAUCUGCCCUUCACCUCGGGAUAAGCCUGGGAAACUGGGACUAAUACCGGUUAGGAGCCCGAUUUAGUGUGGUGGUUGGAGAGUGUUUUAGGUGUGGGACGAGAUCGCGGCCUAUCCGCUUGGUGGUGGGGUAAUGGCAUACCAAGGCGGCGGCGGGUAGCCGGCCUGGGCGGGUGGACGGGCACAAUGGGCCUACGGGACGGCCCAGACGCGUACGUGAGGCAACAGUGGAGAAUAUGGCAGAAUAGGCGCGAGCCAGAUGCAGCGACGCCGCGUUGGGGAUGACGGGCUUCGGGUUGUAAACGCCUUUCUCGAGGAACGAGGCUUUUUGUGACGGUACCUAGAUAGAAAGCACCGGCUAACUACGUG